UACGGGGGGGGCAAGCGUUGUUCGGAAUUACUGGGCGUAAAGGGCUCGUAGGCGGCCAACUAAGUCAGACGUGAAAUCCCUCGGCUUAACCGGGGAACUGCGUCUGAUACUGGAUGGCUUGAGUGUGGGAGAGGGAUGCGGAAUUCCAGGUGUAGCGGUGAAAUGCGUAGAUAUCUGGAGGAACACCGGUGGCGAAGGCGGCAUCCUGGACCGACACUGACGCUGAGGCGCGAAAGCGUGGGGAGCGAACAGG
rnacentral:rRNA from 1 species